rnacentral:rRNA from 1 species
GACGAACGCUGGCGGCGUGCUUAACACAUGCAAGUCGAGCGGAAAGGCCCUUCGGGGUACUCGAGCGGCGAACGGGUGAGUAACACGUGAGUAACCUGCCCUGGACUUUGGGAUAACCCUCGGAAACGGGGGCUAAUACCGAAUACGACCUUCGGCCGCAUGGCCUGAUGGUGGAAAGUUUUUUCGGUUUGGGAUGGACUCGCGGCCUAUCAGCUUGUUGGUGGGGUAAUGGCCUACCAAGGCGACGACGGGUAGCCGGCCUGAGAGGGCGACCGGCCACACUGGGACGGGGACACGGCCCAGAAUCCUACGGGAGGCAGCAGUGGGGAAUAUUGCCCAAUGGGCGGGAGCGUGAUGCAGCGGUGCCGCGUGAGGGAUGACGGCCUUCGGGUUGUAAACCUCUUUCAGCAGGGACGAAGCGCAAGUGACGGUACCUGCAGAAGAAGCGCCGGCCAACUACGUGCCAGCAGCCGCCGUAAGAC